AUCCUUUUCCGUUUCACAUGCACAAUGAUUAAGUGUUCACAUAUUUGCGUGGCAUGUACCUUCCUUAAAUCUUGUUACACAUUUGGCACACUACCCUUCUGAUA